UUUCCAGCAGAGCAAUUUUAUAGUCUUUUAGGAGGUACCAUUAGGUAUUAAAACUUUAGCGUAAAAUAUAAUAGAAAAGGUGGUAUUUUAUGAUACCUUCUCAAGAACUAUAAAUUUGCUCCUUCCAGCA
rnacentral:misc_RNA from 1 species